CUCGUUAGUACUCGUUACUCGUUAGCCUAAUCGUUGCCAAAUACUAAUUAUUGGCCGUGUUUAAACCAUCGUUUCACCACGGCGGACCAUUUUUGGCUUUAUAUUAGAAUACUACAAAUACUAUAAUAUAAUACAAUACUAUAAUGCAGAUCAAAAAAUGGACUGUUGGAAUUUACAUGUUAUAAAUUCGACCUAAAAUCGGUGAAUCAAUAAACAAAUUGUGGAGAUAAGAAACAGUUCAUAAUUGUCCAGGCUUGUCAUUACACAAUUCAGUUUGGCAUCAUCUGCAAUGGAGGUAACGAUAGCAAUUAGUGGGUUCAGCUGCUUGUUCGACAUCCAUCACGAUCAUAGCAAACAUUUCUGAUACAUAAUAAUAUGUAUUCUGAAUUCGAAUUGUUCUUCAACAUGUUAAUUGGUCGUGCUCAUAGUGGGGAGAGGUUAUAUUAUACCACUCUUUAGUAUAUAUAUUUUAUUGACUAACUAAAUUGAAAAAACUAUAUAAUUUAUUGUUAAAAAUUUCAUGUAUUCAUCACAAUUUUUCUUUGUCAUUUUUAAUUAUUUAUAUAUUUCAGUUAAAUUUAUUGAUACAAUAAAAUAUAUGAUAAAGUAAUACAAAUA